rnacentral:rRNA from 1 species
AGCAGUAGCCGCGGUAAUACAGAGGGUGCGAGCGUUAAUCGGAUUUACUGGGCGUAAAGCGUGCGUAGGCGGCUUCUUAAGUCGGAUGUGAAAUCCCUGAGCUUAACUUAGGAAUUGCAUUCGAUACUGGGAAGCUAGAGUAUGGGAGAGGAUGGUAGAAUUCCAGGUGUAGCGGUGAAAUGCGUAGAGAUCUGGAGGAAUACCGAUGGCGAAGGCAGCCAUCUGGCCUAAUACUGACGCCGAGGUACGAAAGCAUGGGGAGCAAACAGGAUUAGAUACCCCAGUAGUCCCUGUCUCUUAUAA